AUUGAACGCUGGCGGCAGGCCUAACACAUGCAAGUCGAGCGGUAACAGGAAACAGCUUGCUGUUUCGCUGACGAGUGGCGGACGGGUGAGUAAUGUCUGGGAAACUGCCUGAUGGAGGGGGAUAACUACUGGAAACGGUAGCUAAUACCGCAUAACGUCGCAAGACCAAAGAGGGGGACCCUCGGGCCUCUUGCCAUCGGAUGUGCCCAGAUGGGAUUAGCUUGUUGGUGGGGUAACGGCUCACCAAGGCGACGAUCCCUAGCUGGUCUGAGAGGAUGACCGGCCACACUGGAACUGAGACACGGUCCAGACUCCUACGGGAGGCAGCAGUGGGGAAUAUUGCACAAUGGGCGCAAGCCUGAUGCAGCCAUGCCGCGUGUAUGAAGAAGGCCUUCGGGUUGUAAAGUACUUUCAGCGGGGAGGAAGGGAGUAAAGUUAAUACCUUUGCUCAUUGGCGUUACCCGCAGAAGAAGCACCGGCUAACUCCGUG
rnacentral:rRNA from 1 species